rnacentral:rRNA from 1 species
AUUGAACGCUGGCGGCAGGCUUAACACAUGCAAGUCGAGCGCCCCGCAAGGGGAGCGGCAGACGGGUGAGUAACGCGUGGGAACCUACCUGAAGGUACGGAACAACUCCGGGAAACUGGAGCUAAUACCGUAUGUGCCCGAAAGGGGAAAGAUUUAUCGCCUUCAGAUGGGCCCGCGUCAGAUUAGCUAGUUGGUGAGGUAACGGCUCACCAAGGCGACGAUCUGUAGCUGGUCUGAGAGGAUGAUCAGCCACACUGGGACUGAGACACGGCCCAGACUCCUACGGGAGGCAGCAGUGGGGAAUAUUGGACAAUGGGCGAAAGCCUGAUCCAGCCAUGCCGCGUGAGUGAUGACGGCCUUAGGGUUGUAAAGCUCUUUCGACGGGGACGAUAAUGACGGUACCCGUAGAAGAAGCCCCGGCUAACUUCGUGCCAGCCGCCGCAGUAA